rnacentral:rRNA from 1 species
AGUGAACGCUGGCGGUAUGCUUUACACAUGCAAGUCGAACGGCAGCACAGUAUGCGCUCGCUCUUCCGGGUGCCAAGUGGCGGAUAGUACAGGGGAACAUCCCCAUUUACUUUGUCGUGCUGGGCAACAUAGGGAUUAAUACCGCAUACGCGCUGAGGGUCUAAGCGUGAAAGCUUCGGAACUUCCGCUCUUGGACGGGCCGAUGGCCGAUUAGCUAGUUGGCGGGGUAAAGGCCCACCAAGGCGACGAUCCGUAGCUGGUCUGAGAGGAUGACCAGCCACACUGGGACUGAGACACGGUCCAGACUCCUACGGGAGGCAGCAGUGGGGAAUUUUGGACAAUGGGCGCAAGCCUGAUCCAGCCAUGCCGCGUGGGUGAAGAAGGCCUUCGGGUUGUAAAGCCCUUUUGUUGGGAAAGAAAAGCACCAGGUUAAUACCCCGCUGUUCUGACGGUACCCAAAGAAUAAGCACCGGCUAACUUCGUG